rnacentral:rRNA from 1 species
GACGAACGCUGGCGGCGUGCCUAAUACAUGCAAGUUGAGCGCUGAAGGUUGGUACUUGUACCAACUGGAUGAGCAGCGAACGGGUGAGUAACGCGUGGGGAAUCUGCCUUUGAGCGGGGGACAACAUUUGGAAACGAAUGCUAAUACCGCAUAAAAACUUUAAACACAAGUUUUAAGUUUGAAAGAUGCAAUUACAUCACUCAAAGAUGAUCCCGCGUUGUAUUAGCUAGUUGGUGAGGUAAAGGCUCACCAAGGCGAUGAUACAUAGCCGACCUGAGAGGGUGAUCGCCCACAUGGGGACGGGGACACGCCCCAACCUCCUACGGGAGGCAGAAGUAGGGAAUCUUCGGCAAUGGACGAAAGUCUGACCGAGCAACGCCGCGGGAGUGAAGAAGGUUUUCGGAUCGUAAAACUCUGUUGGUAGAGAAGAACGUUGGUGAGAGUGGAAAGCUCAUCAAGUGACGGUAACUACCCAGAAAGGGACGGCUAACUACGUG